rnacentral:miRNA from 1 species
AUCUUGUCCGAGAAUGUCUUGA